UUUUCUUUUUUCUUGCUUUUUACCGGUUUUAUUAGGUGAGUGUACAUACAAUUUAGUCACGUGUUUUCACGUGACGUGAUAAAUUAGGGUUUAGCCUUGUUUUCUUUUCUGCUUCUUCCGCCGUUUGGUGUAUCUAUAAAUAUCCUCACUAUCCCACCUCCAAAUCCCACUGCCCCCCGUCGCCUAUUUCUCUCUGUACUAACGCUCUCCUUAACUCACGUCAAUUAGAUUUCUUAGUUUCUUUGCAGAUUUUUUUCCCGAAAGAUCUUCGUUUCUCUACUCUUUACGUUAUGUUUUAAUUUUAAAACUUAUGCUGUGAUGAAAUUCUGUGUUCCAGAGACGGUCUCAGAUGAGGUCGUCUUUGACGGUUACACAACCCUCUAAGAAGUUCUGAGCUUACCCUUUUGUGUGUGUAUAUAUGUGUGUGUGUGUGGGUGUUUGGUUUCUUGAUGAUAGAAAGCGAGGUGACGAUAGAAGUUCAUGUCUGUCAAUCCACUGACUAAGUAACUGUGUGAUGUUACCGUGAAUCCCGACAGGUUCUGAUCGCUUUCUAUCUUGGAAGUCUUGUUUAGUCUUUGUUUGCUUGUAUAGAAGGGUUUUAUGUCUUGGGGCGUAUGAUGAAUCUCAUGUUUUAAUGGGUAAUUUGCGUCUGAAUUUUUGUUGAUGCUCUAUCACCUUGGAGACCUGAUGCCCUUUUCUUAACUUUCGUUUAAUUUUUUUUCUUGAUCUCUUUGAACGCUAUCAAUCUCUUAAUUUUUACGAUGCUCUGUUGAAUCGGGCAGAUGAUGAAUCUUGUGUUUUAAUGGGUAAUUUGCAUCUGAAUUUCGUUGAUGCUUCAACACCUUGAACACUGAUGCCCUUCUUUACCACCUUGUUUGGGUAUGUUUCUAGUAUGAUUUUAUAUGUUUGUUUUAAUCAAUCUCUUGCCCUUUCUUUUCUUCCUUCUUCUUCUCUGUCUCUUCCUUGUUUCAAACAAAAGAUAGGUGUUUUUAAUCAAUUCACAAAAAUCACAUACAAAUUCCUUAACAAAAAUACAAUUAUAGCUUGUUCUUCUUCCUUGUUGGAAACUAAAACCCUAAAUCAAACUAAUUUGUUUGCUUUUGCACUUGAGAAAAUUAGCCAUCAUCCUCAACCUUUUCUACUUCUUGGAAUUUGGACUUGCGGAGACAUAAAAAUCCUAGAUUUAGAUGCAAAAUCCAUAACAAAGAUGAAGUAAUGGGCUUUACAAUAAAAGUCAGAGUCGGUUCAAAGCAACAGACUUGCCGUGUUAAUCUCAUGGCCUUCAUAGUGUUCAAAGCAAUAAACUUGCUACAGCAAUCUCAUGGCCUUCAUAGUGCUGGGAAGAUGGAUGUUUCAAAUUUGGGUACAACAUAAAAAAACAAAAAAAAAAGGCACUCUGGCUGUGACAUGAUGUUCAUGACAGCAUCUGGUAGUGCAUUAAAAAAAAUAAAAAUUACCUAGCCGUUUGGGCUCGGAAGUCUUGGACAUUUGAGCCAGACCCCAAACAGCCAAUCACUCCAGCAUGAUAUCCGACUCGACCCGCCUUAGUUUAUCUUAUACCGUGGACCUCUCCACCGAGCACCACAAAUCGAUCACAAACGUUUUUUUUUGCUUACCAAGUAAAACUGUGAAGGGAAGCAAGUUUAAAUCAUUCAAGAGCUUUAUGCAAAACAUGUAACCACCUAAAAAUUUCUAUCAAAAUUAAAAUACUUGAAACAAACGUGUUCAUGUACUUCAACUGUAAUAUAUGUUUAAAAUGGAGUUUUUUUUUUUUUUUUUUAUUUAAAACGACCUCACCAUUAUUCAAUCUCUCAAAACAUAAUUACACCUUAUUACAUAAUAAAUAACAAAAUUACAACAUUUCUUUGAACAUACAAAAUCAUUCUCAAUGUAAUGAAAAUCAUUCUUCUUUACAAUACUAAUACAAGACAUUGAUUUGUUCCACAAAAUUCUCUCUGGAGCAGGGUAAAGAAUUAAAAUGAAGGUUAUGGAUAUACUGGUAAUUAACACUAAAAACAUCGAGAGAUAGGGUAAGUAUACCCGCAUUUGUUCUACUAAUAUGACCUCCUCUCUAUGUUCUUCCCAAGAAUUAGAUCAUUCCAAUCAAGUGUUAUUUUCUAGGAAGUGGUAAGAUUCUUUCUGCAACUGGACCAAUUCUUCCAUUAGAGUUAUGAUUCCUCAUUUCUUCUUUCUCAGCUAAUUCUUGAUUAGUAACUAUGGUUUGCAGUGCAGUCAUUAUUGACUCCAACUGUGUUUUGAAUUAUCCAUUUCUUCUUUCAUGAAUUCUUGGCACUCGUUCUUCCAAUAUCUUUCCAUGUUCUUCCAAUGCCCUGACUUUGUUAUUCUCUACCAUUGUUGACAGAGAAUGCUGUGAAUUAAGUUGCUGGUGGAUCUUUAGAGACUCUGAUACCAACUUGUUAAGACCACAACCUUAAGUACUUGGAAAUGCAGAAGAGAGAUUGAAGAGAAGGAAGAAGAAAAAUAAGAAGAGAAGAAGAUUAUUUAUAGAAACGGUUUGAUUGAUUAAUUACUUGACUUCCAAGCUAUGAACUUCAGCAACUUUAUACA